rnacentral:rRNA from 1 species
GACGAACGCUGGCGGCGUGCUUAACACAUGCAAGUCGAACGAAGAGCGAUGGAAGCUUGCUUCUAUCAAUCUUAGUGGCGAACGGGUGAGUAACGCGUAAUCAACCUGCCCUUCAGAGGGGGACAACAGUUGGAAACGACUGCUAAUACCGCAUACGAUCUAAACUCGGCAUCGAGGAUAGAUGAAAGGUGGCCUCUACAUGUAAGCUAUCACUGAAGGAGGGGAUUGCGUCUGAUUAGCUAGUUGGAGGGGUAACGGCCCACCAAGGCGAUGAUCAGUAGCCGGUCUGAGAGGAUGAACGGCCACAUUGGGACUGAGACACGGCCCAGACUCCUACGGGAGGCAGCAGUGGGGAAUCUUCCGCAAUGGACGAAAGUCUGACGGAGCAACGCCGCGUGAGUGAGGACGGCCUUCGGGUUGUAAAGCUCUGUUAAUCGGGACGAAAGGCCUUCUUGCGAAUAGUGAGAAGGAUUGACGGUACCGGAAGAGAAAGCCACGGCUAACUACGUG